CCGUGCUAAACGGGGAGAUAGCGGUGCCCUGUAACCCGCAAUCCGCUAUAGCGGGGUUGAAGCUUAUCCGAGGGCGUCCCUCUUUAGGGUCCGGCCGGCGCGGGCAGUGUUGAAGGUUGGGUCCUGCGCAAUGGGAACCCGUGAACCCCGUCAGGUCCGGGAGGAAGCAGCGGUAAGCGGUGCUUCUCAUGUGCCGCAGGGGGUCCUGACUGGAGCCGGCUACGUCGGUAUCGCCUGGGGAGGGCGUUCGAAGAUAAGUGCACGG
rnacentral:SRP_RNA from 1 species